CUAUUUGGCAAACCAGUUAAUCCCAAUUUGGUACAAGAUAGAAAAAUCUAAUGUAAUCUCUGAGCUUGCUGAUGUCCACUCUGUUGCCCUCACUUGUGACUCUUGGACUAGCAUUGCUCAAGACCACUACCUAACUGUCACAGCACACUAUUUAGUGGAGGGCAAAAUGAAGCAAAAAGUGCUGCAAACCAAAGCUGUCUACACAGCCCAGACCGGACAUGCCGUGGCAGAGGAGAUCGGUGACAUCCUGAAAGAAUAUGGCAUUUUUGACAAAGUAGUGACUGCUACUGUGGAUAAUGCACCAAAUAUGGACAUAGCCAUAAAAAGACUACAGUUUGUGAAACUUGGCUGCUUUGCUCAUACACUCAAUCUUGCAGCACAGAGUCUCUACUCCCUGUCUGCAGUGACUCAGUGGACUGCAAAGAUCCGUACCAUCAUUGUGUGGAUGAAGAGGUCCUCGAUGGCAAAGAUUGUUCUGCGAGAGAAGCAAGAUCUCCUCAACUUGCCCGGCUGAGUGAUGAAGACUUCAGGAAGGCAGAGGACUUCAUCAACUUGAUGAGAGUUCUUUACACUUCCACACUUUGCGUUUCAACGGAAAAGAACCCCACAUGUGGUCAGAUCCUGCCAAUUCUCAAAAAGCUAGAGAUGCACUUUACUGUUGUUGAGGGAGACACAGUAUUUGUAUCCAAUCUCAAGAAGCAAGUUUGGGCAAACUUGUCCAAGCGAUAUCAGGUAAAAAUUAGGUGAACUUUCAUUAAAGAACAAUACAUUAAAUAAUUCUAUUCCUGUGACCUUAUUGUAUAUUUAAAUAACAUUUUUAUUUUACAGAGCGAGGACAUCAGGAACUUUCUUGAAGUGGCAACAGCAUUAGACCCACGCUUCAAACAAAAUAUGGAUUGUGAUGAUGACUCUGUCGGUGUCUGUGACCGAAUCAAGAGACAGAUGAUGACAGAUUCUGAGCACAAGCAGGUUAUAUAAUGUCAUUGAAGCUCAAACAUUUAAUGUCUCCAAUUCAGCCAUUAAAAUAUUUGGUAUAUAAAUACCAAUUAUGUUAUUUAUUAUGUUAUUAGUCAACAGAGGAUGAUUGUUCUGACAUCACUACCUUCUCCACAAUGUGGUCAGAGAAAAGGCAUGAUAAUGAUGAAGUGGAGGAGGAAGAUGAGAAUCAACAACCUCCAAGAAAACAUCCAAGAAAGUCUCCAUUGGAGGAGCUUUUUGCCGAUGACGAUGCAGAAAAGAGGUCAUCACAGAGGAGGACCAUGUCCAUCCAGGACCAUGCAGAGAAGGAGAUGCAGAUGUAUAAGGAGACACCACCAACCUUUACGUCUGAUGACCCUGCUGCCUGGUGGUGGAACCAGCGCAUGACUUAUCCUUUAAUGUCAAACAUAGCCUUUUCGUAUUUGUGUGUUCAGGCCUCCUCUACACCUAGUGAACGGGUUUUCUCAACUGCCGGUGACACAAUCUGUGCUGAACGUUCACGGAUACAGCCUGAGAAGGCAGACAUGCUCAUAUUUCUGAACAAGAACUGUUUUUAAUUAAUUAAGUUUAUACAUGUACAGAGAGUCCAGACCAGGGUGCAAGUUCUGCAUAUAUAAAUCUGUUUUUUUGGUCUGGUGCAGAGGCAUUCCUAAUUUUCUCCUACAUGGGCUGCAGCUCCUAAAACUAAAACUCAUAUUUUCUCCUACAUGGGCUGCAGCUCCUAAAACUAAAACUCAUAUUGAAUCAAAAUAAAAUUAUCCUCUGUGAAAUCAAAUGAGCCUGUGACAUGUUUUGACUCCAGCCC